rnacentral:rRNA from 1 species
CAGCAGCCGCGGUAAUACAGAGGGUGCAAGCGUUAAUCGGAAUUACUGGGCGUAAAGCGCGCGUAGGUGGUUUGUUAAGUUGGAUGUGAAAGCCCCGGGCUCAACCUGGGAACUGCAUCCAAAACUGGCAAGCUAGAGUACGGUAGAGGGUGGUGGAAUUUCCUGUGUAGCGGUGAAAUGCGUAGAUAUAGGAAGGAACACCAGUGGCGAAGGCGACCACCUGGACUGAUACUGACACUGAGGUGCGAAAGCGUGGGGAGCAAACAGGAUUAGAUCCCCUGUAGUCCCUGUCUCUUAUACA